GGCAACUGUUCUCUGGUGGACGUAGGAUUAUUUUGAUCCGAACCACGUUAGAUCUUGUGUUCUUUCUUUUAUGUUUCUGCUAACAUGAACCUCUUUACAUGUCUGGACAGACGAUGAUGCGUUUCUUCGGGGCGUCAUUCGUGCUGCCGUUCUUCCUAUAAAUAUAGUUAGGAUACAAAGUGCAGCUGUAGUAUAUGAAGAUCAAGAGGGCAACAUCUACAACAAAAAGACAUAUACGGAUCUACAGCGCCAGGGAUUGAUCCAGAUUUGUUUCUGUGGAGCUUUUCAAUCUCUUUGGCGAUAUUGGACAGACCAGAUGUCUUGAUUUUGGUUGAGCAAGCACUUGUUAUUCAGUAAGCGAUUAUUGGUGUAUUCACCUGCCCCUCUGAAGUGCAAUUUGAAUGUUUAGAAUUCACUAAGCGGGAGAGGGACAAGAGACAGAAGCCUCUAUUUGAAAUGUAUGAAAUGUAUUUGUAUUAGCAAGGAUGUCUUUAGAUAGGCUAUUGUUGUUAUUAGGUUAGAUUUAUUUUCAGAACAGAGUCGUGGUCUUUGGUCGUGAUGUUUUCACGGGCCGUCUGGGGUUCUGACGGAGACAGCCAAAUAUUUCUGACUGCAUUGCUUUUAUCUUUUGUUUAGUGCCAUACAAUUGCCGAGUUCUUUCAAGUUCUCGCCAAAUUCUAUACUUGGUCUCCCAUGAAUGUUUACUGAAAUUUCCAUAGCUUGCCUGCA